GAUGAAGAACGUAGCGAAAUGCGAUAAGUAAUGUGAAUUGCAGAAUUCAGUGAAUCAUCGAAUCUUUGAACGCACAUUGCGCCCGCUGGUAUUCCGGCGGGCAUGCCUGUUCGAGCGUCAUUUCAACCCUCAAGCUCUCCGGAGUUUGGUGUUGGGGCGCCUGGGGCUUUUCGACCUCAAGGCCCUCAAGUCCAUCGGCGGGACCGCCAGGACACUGAGCGCAGUAGUAUUAUUUCGCUCGGUAGGAUCUUCCACGGCGGGUCGAUCUGGCCGCUAAACCCCCCAAUUCUCACCAAAGGUUGACCUCGGAUCAGGUAGGAAUACCCGCUGAACUUAAGCAUAUCAAUAAGCGGAGGA
rnacentral:misc_RNA from 1 species